GAUGAACGCUAGCUACAGGCUUAACACAUGCAAGUCGCGGGGCAGCAUGGGGGUUGCUUGCAAUCCCCGAUGGCGACCGGCGCACGGGUGAGUAACGCGUAUCCAACCUGCCCUUCACCACGGGAUAACCCGGCGAAAGUCGGACUAAUACCGUAUGUUGUCCAUUGACGGCAUCCGAUUUGGACGAAAGGCUUGGCGGUGAGGGAUGGGGAUGCGUCCGAUUAGCCAGACGGCGGGGUAACGGCCCACCGUGGCUACGAUCGGUAGGGGUUCUGAGAGGAAGGUCCCCCACACUGGAACUGAGACACGGUCCAGACUCCUACGGGAGGCAGCAGUGAGGAAUAUUGGUCAAUGGGCGUAAGCCUGAACCAGCCAAGUAGCGUGCAGGAGGACGGCCCUAUGGGUUGUAAACUGCUUUUAUGCGGGGAUAAAGUGGCCCACGGGUGGGCUUUUGCAGGUACCGCAUGAAUAAGGACCGGCUAAUUCCGUG
rnacentral:rRNA from 1 species